AACGAACGCUGGCGGCAUGCCUAACACAUGCAAGUCGAACGAGACCUUCGGGUCUAGUGGCGCACGGGUGCGUAACGCGUGGGAAUCUGCCCUUGGGUUCGGAAUAACAGUGAGAAAUUACUGCUAAUACCGGAUGAUGUCUUCGGACCAAAGAUUUAUCGCCCAGGGAUGAGCCCGCGUAGGAUUAGCUAGUUGGUGGGGUAAUGGCCUACCAAGGCGACGAUCCUUAGCUGGUCUGAGAGGAUGAUCAGCCACACUGGGACUGAGACACGGCCCAGACUCCUACGGGAAGAAGCAGUGGGGAAUAUUGGACAAUGGGCGCAAGCCUGAUCCAGCAAUGCCGCGUGAGUGAUGAAGGCCUUAGGGUUGUAAAGCUCUUUUACCCGGGAUGAUAAUGACAGUACCGGGAGAAUAAGCUCCGGCUAACUCCGUG
rnacentral:rRNA from 1 species